GAAUGUAGCUCAGUGGCAGAGCACUUGUCUGGCAUGUGCAAGGCCCUGGGUUCAGUCCCCAGAACCAUGCA
rnacentral:tRNA from 1 species